rnacentral:rRNA from 1 species
UACGUAGGGUGCAAGCGUUAAUCGGAAUUACUGGGCGUAAAGCGUGCGCAGGCGGUUAUGUAAGACAGAUGUGAAAUGCCCGGGCUCAACCUGGGAACUGCAUUUGUGACUGCAUGGCUAGAGUUUGGCAGAGGGGGGUAGAAUUCCACGUGUAGCAGUGAAAUGCGUAGAUAUGUGGAGGAAUACCGAUGGCGAAGGCAGCCCCCUGGGUCAAGACUGACGCUCAUGCACGAA